rnacentral:rRNA from 1 species
GGUGAACGCUAGCGGCAGGCUUAAUACAUGCAAGUCGAGGGGGCAGCAAUGUCACCGGCGAACGGGUGCGUAACGCGUAUGCAACCUACCUACAUCAGCGGGAUAGCCCUAGGAAACUGGGAUUAACAACGCAUAAUAUAAGCUACGGCAUCGUAACUUAUUGAAAUAAUUAUAGGAUGGAAAUGGGCAUGCGUAGGAUUAGCUAGUUGGUAAGGUAACGGCUUACCAAGGCUACGAUCCUUAGGGGCUCUGAGAGGAGUAUCCCCCACACUGGCACUGAGAUACGGGCCAGACUCCUACGGGAGGCAGCAGUAGGGAAUAUUGGGCAAUGGAGGCAACUCUGACCCAGCCAUGCCGCGUGCAGGAAGACGGUCCUCUGGAUUGUAAACUGCUUUUGAAUGGGAAGAAUGUGCUUUUUGCGAGGAGUAAUGACGGUACCAUUAGAAUAAGCCACGGCUAACUACGUGCCAGCAGCCGCCGUAA